rnacentral:lncRNA from 1 species
AGGGGCCAAGCAGCAGGCAGUGGCUGGCUGCGGGGCUUCUGCAGGAGUUGGACAUUUCUCCUGGCUGUAUUGCUCACAGGCUGGGUAAUAUCCAGGCUGGGCUGCCUAGCUUCCCUGAAAUUCUGUAAGCUACCUUGUAUCCUGUAAUAAGUCUCCUUCUGCUUAGACUAGCUGGACUGCAUCACCAUAUGAUGUGAUAUGUGCUGUGCUAGAGCAAGUUAGAGAGUUUGAUGAUCAUUAUUAUUCUUCAUCAGUAUCAAAUAUUGACGCUGAUUUUAGCCUUCAGACCUUUUUUUGUUUGCACCAAGUUGCAAAAGAAAGCAGACAUUAUUCUGCGUUCAUUAAAAAGAGCCUUGCGUUUUCCUCCGUGAAUUUCACAGUUAGCGCCAUGUGAAAGCGCCUCAUAACUACUAAACACACAGAGCCAGCGCCAUCCAUUCAAGAGCACGCAGGUUCCUGCCAAGCAAAGGCGGACUGAUCAGAGCUGGGAACGCCCUCCCUCCACGCCCCCAUCCCAGCAGCGCCAUCUGCAGCGGGCGGCUGGACGCCCUCCACGCACUCACCACUUCCUUUGGAACUUUUAUGGGCCUGCUUUUGAAACCAUACUCAUUCCAUAUGCAAAGGCUUGGAUACAUAUGCACACCAACAGCCCGUAUGCAUGCAAAAUGUGCAGAUGGGCAAAGGAAAUGAAGCCAGGGGUUUGGCGCUACAACAAAUUAUUAAGCCGGGAACUCCUGAAAGCCACGUGUGAGCGCUAAGGAAAAACAGCCUUUUUUGGAACUGGUAAUUUGAACUUAUUUCAGAAACUGUACUUUAAUAAAAGUGUAAAGAAACAGCUUUUAGAACUUUUUUUUCAUUGUUCCCUUUGAAAACAAACAUGUGAAAGGUCGCAGAAUUUCAACCAGUAGCACGAUCACCAGAUUUGAUCUUUUCU